UUCACUGAUGGAUGCACACACCAAGCACCCAUGUCAUGGGAAGGGCGUGGAUGAGCUCCUGACAUGAGAUAUCUCCUUCAGUGCAGCUCUAAGAGGAAAGGGCCUAAGGAUGGAAACAGCCUGAAUAUGUAUUAAGAUGAUGCACACCAAAGCAAGAUGAAUGCUGCCUUUCAAACCUGGAGAUCUUCAUCUAUGAAAUGUUUUGAGAAUUAAUGUGUAAUCUUUUCAUCUGAAUAUCAUGUGCCAUAUUGAACAUCUGGUUUAUGUAGUUUUACCAUAACAUGCCCACAAGACCUCAGAAAAAUUUUAGAAGAUCCCUGUUGCCUUUGCAAAUA